rnacentral:rRNA from 1 species
UACGUAGGGGGCAAGCGUUGUCCGGAAUCAUUGGGCGUAAAGCGCGUGUAGGCGGCUCGGUAAGUCUGCUGUGAAAGUCCAGGGCUCAACCCUGGGAUGCCGGUCGAUACUGCCGGACUAGAGUUCGGAAGAGGCGAGUGGAAUUCCCGGUGUAGCGGUGAAAUGCGUAGAGAUCGGGAAGAACAUCGGUGGCGAAAGCGCUCUACUGGACCGCAACUGACACUCAGGGACGAAAGCUAGGGGAGCGAAUGGG